rnacentral:rRNA from 1 species
GCGCAGCAGUCGCGAAACUUCACACUGUGCGAAAGCACGAUGAGGGAAUCCCAAGUGCUUGCACGUAAGUGUAAGCUGUUUCUCUGUUUAAAACGCAGAGAGAGUAAGGGCUGGGUAAGACGGGUGCCAGCCGCCGCCGGUAAUACCUGCAGCUCAAGUGGUGACCGUUAUUAUUGGGCCUAAAACGUCCGUAGCCGGUUUAAUAAAUGCCUGGGUAAAUCGUGUAGCUUAACUAUACGAAUUCCGGGUAGACUGUUAAACUCGAGACCGGGAGAAGUUAGAGGUACUCCUGGGGUAGAGGUGAAAUUCUGUAAUCCUAGGGGGACCGACCAGUGGCGAAGGCGUCUAACUAGAACGGGUCUGACGGUGAGGGACGAAGCCCCUGGGGCGCAAACGGGGAUUAGGAUACCCGUGUAGU